CAGGUCCAGCGCUUCCUGUUCCGAGCCUUCCAGCUCCACAACCACCACCAGCAAGUUCGUCCACGUAAACACAGCACUGUUGGCACGAUACAGGAUACUUAGAGAGCCAUGCAGGAGAAGAGGCCACAGAUAUAAUACAGCAGGGAGUCAGCUGGCUGCUGCCAAGGAUAUUUCAACAAAACAAUGCAAUGAGUCUGAGGUUUCUCCUCUACAGCCAUUAAAGAGCUAAUGCUUUAACAGUCUGUACCUGUCAUGUCGAAGUGCUCUCAUAUCCACAUAGACUGUUGUUGGAUCUGGUCCUGCUGUUCCCUAAGAAUAAGGAGGAAGAAAUAAAUUCAAUAGAAG